rnacentral:lncRNA from 1 species
ACACCAAAAAAAGAAGAAAAAAAGAAAAAAAAAAGAAUAAAUAAAAAGGAAAAAAAAAAGAAAAACUGUGCAAUAAUCUCCUGACAGUUCCUAGCUCAGGCGUUCCUGGGGAGCAUCGUUAUGAAGAGCGCACGCUGUACACGCUAGAAAACAGAAUCCCUGUAAUACAGUGCUCACCUUGAGGCCAGACACCUAUAUAGACGUUUUGAAUAGUGAACAGGGGACUCUAAUAGAAAUACUCUUAAUAUCUGCCUAUUUUUAGAACCCUUAAAGGGCAUAAUUAUUGAAGAUUUAGGUACUUCACUAAAGCAUGUAUAUAUUAUUGCCAACAAGAAAAAUAAACCUGAAGAUUAGGGGAACUUGGUUCUGUAAACUGUCUUGGAAUAGUUAAGCAGAAUUUAAGCUCUGUUUUAUGCAGAAAACCAGAUAGAUUCUUUUGCAGAUAUAGAAAACUUCCUAACUUAUUUAAACUUGGCAUUUAACACUUUGUGUUACUUAGAUAUACAGUUGCUAGGUACUAACAUCCCAUUCUUCUCUAUAUCAGGGAUUAUUACAGUCAAACUCAGUGACAUGGUACAAAUCUACAACUUUGAUGGUGGGAACUGAAGAAUUACAGAGAACUGUGUUUUCCCGAGUGCCAAAAGAAACAAAAACAAAACAAAACAAACAAACCCCACAAAAAAAAGAAAAAAAAAAAAAAGCCGCGAGCCUCCUUGCACAAAAUUGAUAGGUUUUUUUUUGUGUGUAUGUGUGUGUUUGUGUGUGUGUAUGUUUAACAUUAGUCCAUCAGUUGCCGUAGUAUCACCUCCCAGGUCUCUGCACAAUUAAAACACAGCCACAUAGCUUAUUUUGUCAUUUACAACCACAUUGAUUUUAUUUGAAAGAAAGUCUAUAGUCUGUGAAGGGUAUAAGUAAAGAAAGGAGAACUGGUUGUAUUCAAAAAGGCAAAAGCCAAACUUGAAUUGCAGCUGGGGUGAUCAAUAUCUGCUUCCAGAGAGCAAUAAUGUGCCACUUACUCCCAGGUGCUUCAGUACCAGAAAGUGCUGUGGGACUCGGUCACCUCUGUAGAUGACCGUCCUUGUCAGUGAAUGACUAUUGUGGAAAUGACUUGGGCUCCAUAGUUUCACUAAGUCACUUGAGGAUGUCUCAUCAGCAAUUAUUUCAGGAAGGAAAGAAAGCAAAUCUAAAGAAAGAAACUAAAUACACUGUAGCAAGAAAUAACUCUUCAAUCAUGCUUUAACUUUUUACCAUAGUCUCAGCUAUACAAAAAACUUUAGUUUGAAGAUUUUACAUUGCUGUUAAUUUGAAAUCUGUUGUUCUUACUGUGGAGUUUGAUUUGUUCGUUUGUUUGCUUUCUGUUGGUUUUUUUUUUUUUUUUUAAGAUGUUUCUAAAUAGAUUUUUUAAAAAAAAGAAAGAAGAAGAAGAAUGGAAUCUGGUUGCUAUUUUAAGGUAGAACCUGAGACUUUUUGUGGUUCUUCAUGUCCUCUGUAAAAUUUGGUGUCAAGAGUCAUCAACUCUGAGGUUGUCCCUUCUGUUCUGCUUUAUAUUACUGCCCAUCAGGAAAUGGGAACCUGGUGAAUAUAUAAUGAAUUGUAAAAUAUUUUAAAUGUGUAACUUUUUCAACUGUGAAACUGACUAUUGGUUUUUUUUUUUUUUGAUGAAAACAGCUGCUCAUAAAGUAUUUUGUGU